GCGAGCUUAACUCAGUUGGUAAAGAUAAUUUAUAAUGUAUGCAUGAUCCUGAGUUCGAAUCUCAGACACCGCC
rnacentral:tRNA from 1 species